GCAGCGGCGGGUCCGCGGGCGCCCAGCUGCCCCGCAGCGCCGCGGCCCUGCCCCACGCCUCCGCGUAGUCGCCGUAGGGCUCGAACUCGGAGCGGUUGAGCGCCGGCAGCGCCCGCAGCAUCCUGAAGUGGCAGCGCAGGACUCAGAGAAGCCACCAUCCUCUCCAGCUCCAGGGAUGGGCAGAGGUCUGGAGAGGAGAUGGGUCUAAGGGCCCUGAUAAAUCCUCUCAGCCCCCACCCACCAAGGUGAAGUCCUGCCGCUUCCCAGAAAGAUGCCCUGAUCCGGAGCAUUGACAGAGACAUGGAACAGGACUGGCCCCAGGACUGGGCCCAGGGAAUGCCACUGGUGCCUGGCCCCAGCUGCAUGUGGCCCAUUCCCUCUGAUCUUACCCUCCUUGUGUUAACUCCUCCUUUGACCCAAACCCUAAAACUCCACCCCUACAACACCCUAUAAAACCCCACGACUCGGCCCCUGUCUGCCCUGUCCUUUUUCCCCUUCUCCUUCUUCCUCCUCCCCAGUCCUGGGGGAAAUAAAAUGGA